rnacentral:rRNA from 1 species
GGGUUGUGAGGUUAAGCGACUAAGCGUACACGGUGGAUGCCCUGGCAGUCAGAGGCGAUGAAGGACGUGCUAAUCUGCGAUAAGCGUCGGUAAGGUGAUAUGAACCGUUAUAACCGGCGAUUUCCGAAUGGGGAAACCCAGUGUGAUUCGUCACACUAUCAUUAACUGAAUCCAUAGGUUAAUGAGGCGAACCGGGGGAACUGAAACAUCUAAGUACCCCGAGGAAAAGAAAUCAACCGAGAUUCCCCCAGUAGCGGCGAGCGAACGGGGAGCAGCCCAGAGCCUGAAUCAGUGUGUGUGUUAGUGGAAGCGUCUGGAAAGGCGCGCGAUACAGGGUGACAGCCCCGUACACAAAAAUGCACAUGCUGUGAGCUCGAUGAGUAGGGCGGGACACGUGGUAUCCUGUCUGAAUAUGGGGGGACCAUCCUCCAAGGCUAAAUACUCCUGACUGACCGAUAGUGAACCAGUACCGUGAGGGAAAGGCGAAAAGAACCCCGGCGAGGGGAGUGAAAAAGAACCUGAAACCGUGUACGUACAAGCAGUGGGAGCACAGAGCAAUCUGUGUGACUGCGUACCUUUUGUAUAAUGGGUCAGCGACUUAUAUUCUGUAGCAAGGUUAACCGAAUAGGGGAGCCGAAGGGAAACCGAGUCUUAACUGGGCGUUAAGUUGCAGGGUAUAGACCCGAAACCCGGUGAUCUAGCCAUGGGCAGGUUGAAGGUUGGGUAACACUAACUGGAGGACCGAACCGACUAAUGUUGAAAAAUUAGCGGAUGACUUGUGGCUGGGGGUGAAAGGCCAAUCAAACCGGGAGAUAGCUGGUUCUCCCCGAAAGCUAUUUAGGUAGCGCCUCGUGAAUUCAUCUCCGGGGGUAGAGCACUGUUUCGGCAAGGGGGUCAUCCCGACUUACCAACCCGAUGCAAACUGCGAAUACCGGAGAAUGUUAUCACGGGAGACACACGGCGGGUGCUAACGUCCGUCGUGAAGAGGGAAACAACCCAGACCGCCAGCUAAGGUCCCAAAGUCAUGGUUAAGUGGGAAACGAUGUGGGAAGGCCCAGACAGCCAGGAUGUUGGCUUAGAAGCAGCCAUCAUUUAAAGAAAGCGUAAUAGCUCACUGGUCGAGUCGGCCUGCGCGGAAGAUGUAACGGGGCUAAACCAUGCACCGAAGCUGCGGCAGCGACGCUGAUGCGUUGUUGGGUAGGGGAGCGUUCUGUAAGCCUGUGAAGGUGUGCUGUGAGGCAUGCUGGAGGUAUCAGAAGUGCGAAUGCUGACAUAAGUAACGAUAAAGCGGGUGAAAAGCCCGCUCGCCGGAAGACCAAGGGUUCCUGUCCAACGUUAAUCGGGGCAGGGUGAGUCGACCCCUAAGGCGAGGCCGAAAGGCGUAGUCGAUGGGAAACAGGUUAAUAUUCCUGUACUUGGUGUUACUGCGAAGGGGGGACGGAGAAGGCUAUGUUGGCCGGGCGACGGUUGUCCCGGUUUAAGCGUGUAGGCUGGUUUUCCAGGCAAAUCCGGAAAAUCAAGGCUGAGGCGUGAUGACGAGGCACUACGGUGCUGAAGCAACAAAUGCCCUGCUUCCAGGAAAAGCCUCUAAGCAUCAGGUAACAUCAAAUCGUACCCCAAACCGACACAGGUGGUCAGGUAGAGAAUACCAAGGCGCUUGAGAGAACUCGGGUGAAGGAACUAGGCAAAAUGGUGCCGUAACUUCGGGAGAAGGCACGCUGAUAUGUAGGUGAAGUCCCUCGCGGAUGGAGCUGAAAUCAGUCGAAGAUACCAGCUGGCUGCAACUGUUUAUUAAAAACACAGCACUGUGCAAACACGAAAGUGGACGUAUACGGUGUGACGCCUGCCCGGUGCCGGAAGGUUAAUUGAUGGGGUCAGCGCAAGCGAAGCUCUUGAUCGAAGCCCCGGUAAACGGCGGCCGUAACUAUAACGGUCCUAAGGUAGCGAAAUUCCUUGUCGGGUAAGUUCCGACCUGCACGAAUGGCGUAAUGAUGGCCAGGCUGUCUCCACCCGAGACUCAGUGAAAUUGAACUCGCUGUGAAGAUGCAGUGUACCCGCGGCAAGACGGAAAGACCCCGUGAACCUUUACUAUAGCUUGACACUGAACAUUGAGCCUUGAUGUGUAGGAUAGGUGGGAGGCUUUGAAGUGUGGACGCCAGUCUGCAUGGAGCCGGCCUUGAAAUACCACCCUUUAAUGUUUGAUGUUCUAAC